UACAGAGGUGGCAAGCGUUGUUCGGAAUUACUGGGCGUAAAGGGCGCGUAGGCGGCCUUCUAAGUCAGACGUGAAAUCCCCCGGCUUAACCUGGGAACUGCGUCUGAUACUGGAGGGCUUGAGUAUGGGAGAGGGAUGUAGAAUUCCAGGUGUAGCGGUGAAAUGCGUAGAUAUCAGGAGGAACACCGGUGGCGAAGGCGGCUCUCUGGACAGACACCGACGCUGAGGCACGAAAGCUAGGGGAGCAAACAGG
rnacentral:rRNA from 1 species